CAUUUUCAAACCCUGAUGUUAAUUUCUCUGUUUUUUUCUCCAAUUUCUCAUGAUUGUUGUUUUGGAUCUAGGAGCUCCCUCACUUCCUCCUUAUAUAAGACAUUCCAUUUCACUCUAAAUCCAAAUAUAUUUAAACCAAUUUUUAACUUCACCCUAUAUUUCAACAUUUAAUCACAGUUCAUUCUUUUUCUCUCAUUUC
rnacentral:lncRNA from 1 species